AAAAAUAGAAAUGAAGCAAGUAUUUAAAAACAAACACUAGUAGAAAAAAGUAAAUGGGAAGUCCCAAAGGGGGAACGGUUAUUAAAAAUCCGCUUCUAAAUCCCUACAAAAUCCACAUCAGACCUCAAAUGGCAAGCGGUUUGGGCUGAACCGCUCCCAAAAAUGUAAUGGGAAGCGGUUAGGACAUUGAACCACUCCCCAUCCUUUAAAAAAUAAAACCUAACAACCCCUCAUAUGAUUCUCACGCCACUUUUCUCUCCUUCUCUCUCCUCUCUCCUCUGCAUUCUCAAUCUCACGCCUCUUUUUCUCCCUCUCUCUCCUCUCUCCAUUUCUCACCCAUGGAACUCCUCUUUUCUCUCUCUCCUCUCUCCUCUCUCCUUUCUCCAUUUCUCAGUUCUUAGUUAUCACUUCUCACCCAUCACUUCUCUCAAGCUUCCCUUUCUUUUCUCUCUCCUCUUAUCACCGGCCACAACUACAACCACCAAGAGCAACACCCACAACAACCACCGAGAGUAACACCCAUAACAACCACUAAGAGCAACACCCACAAUAGCACACCGAGCAACACCAACAACGGCGCAACGCAACACCAACAACAGCGCAACGCAACACCAACACCGACAACAGCGCAACACCAACACCAACAGCGCAACACCAACAACAAUACCCACAACCACUGAUACCCAUCGAGAUCUAAUUUUAAUUAAGGUGGUUUAAUUGGUGGUGAGUGUUGGUAUUAGGUGGAUGCAUGUGCGUGGAUGGUGGUGCGCGUGGGUGGGGGAUGGUGGUGGAACGCAUGGAAGCAGCAAAUGUUUUAUUGAUUUAUUAAUGUAUUUUCUUUUUUGAUGAAAAUGUAAUAUUACAAAAAUUGAUUAAUGAAAAUAUUUAUAUUUAUACAUAUGUUUAAUGUUUCUGUAUCAAUAUAAGUAAAAAAAAAAGCCAAUUUUUUUUUUUUUAAUUUUAUAGGCAUAAUGGGAAGGACCCAAAACCGCUUCCCAUUACCUCCAAAUGGGAAGCGGUUUGAACCACUUUCCAUUAAAAUGGCAACCAUUAGGAUUUUGAACCGCUUGCCAUUUACUGUAAAAGGGAGUGAUAAUUAUUUAAGGUAUAUAUAAUUAUUAAAUUUUGCAUCGAAUAUAUACCAAAUUUGACUCAAAUUUUUUAGAAAAUAUCACGAGUGAAUAUUAUGUACACUUAAAAGUAAAAAGUAAUUUGAUUAGCCAGCCAUACUCAAAACUUAAGUAGCAAAGUGGUACUUUUCAAAAAAAAAAAAAAAAAA